rnacentral:lncRNA from 1 species
UAUGAGAUACAUACAAUUUUGUUAUUAAGUUCUUCCAAUUCAGACUCUUGGGUAUUGGAUACCGCCUGCGGUUUUCAUAUAUGCAAGUCAUUGCAGGGGCUGCAGAACAUUAGAGUUUUGAAGAGGGAUGACUUCGAGCACUACGGUGCUAGAGGAGAGUUCAUCCAAGCAGAAGCUGUAGGGAUAUAUAUGUUGAAGUUACCUUCUGGAAAGAUCUUAGAGCUGAAAAAUUGUUACUAUGUGUCUAAGAUCAUUAGGAAUAUUAUUUCUGUACCGUUGCUAUUGCAACGAGAUUUUGAAAAAAAUGGAAAGAGCAAUAGUUGCUUAUUUUUUUUCUAAUAAAAUUCUCUGUCAUGGUAUUGUUAAUAAUGAUCUUUGGUUCUAUCUAAUGACAAUAUUUUUCAUAUUGAUAAAAGCAAAAAAUGAAAGAGAGAAGAUAUAAAUAAUAUUCUACUUUGGCAUUGUCGACUUGGUCAUAUAAGUGAGACAAGAAUUAACAAGUUAUAUAAAGAAGAGUUCUUUGAUUCUUAUGAUUGUGAAUCAUUAGGAACUUGUGAAUCUUGUCUUAUAGAUAAAAUGAUCAAGACUUCAUUUAGUGGACAUGGAGAAAGAACAAGUGAAUUAUUAGGACUUGUACAUACUGAUGUAUGUGAUCUUAUGACAACUGAAGCCAGCUUAUUUUAUUACGUUGACUGAUGAUUUAUUUAGGUUUGGAUAUGUGUAUCUUAUGAAAUACAAAUUCGAGAUCUUUGAUAAAUUUAAAGAGUAUCAAAGUAUGGUCGAGAAAUAAACUGAAAAAAAUAUUAAAAUCCUUCGAUCUGAUCGAGAAGAAGAAUACUUAUCAAGUGAAUUUCUAGAUUAUCUUAAAGAAAAAGGGAUUCUCUCAGAAUGGAUCCCUCCUUAUAUACCGCAGUUGAAUGGUGUAGCAGAAAGAAGGAAUCGCACUUUAUUAGAUAUGGUGCGGUCCAUAAUGUGCCUUACAGACUUGCCUAUUUUUUUUCUGGAGAUAUGUCCUAAAAACUGCUGUCUAUAUCCUGAACAGAGUACUUUCAAAAUCUGUGUCAAGUACUCCAUAUGAGAUAUAGAGAAGUAAAAAACCUAAUCUUAAGUAUCUUAAGAUUUGGAGCUGUUCAACUUAUAUUAAAAGAAAUUUUGGAUAUAAACUGAGUGCUAGGACAGAUAAAUGCUUAUUUGUAGGUUAUCCAAAAGAGAGUAUGGGAUAUCUCUUUUAUCAUUUUACUGAACAAAAGGUAUUUUUCAGUAAACAUGCCCUUUUUAUGGAAAAAAAGUUUAUCCUAGAAAGAGGCAGUGGGAAGAAAAUUGAAUUUGAAGAAGUUCAGGACCUACAAAUAGAAGUACAAGAUGAUCUUCAACCAGAAGUAUCUAUUGAUGAGGUACAACCAUAAAAUACACCUCUUCGAAGGUUAGAAAGGGUACGAAAUGCAUUUUUGAGGUACGGAUUCAUUAUUGAGAAUAAUGAAGCCCACAUCAUUGAGAAUGACGAAUCUUUGACCUAUACGGAAGCUGUUAUGAGUAAGGACUCAGAUAAAUGGUUAGAGGCUAUGAAAUCUGAAAUGGACUCAAUGUACUCUAACCAAGUAUGGACUUUGAUUGAUGCAUCAGAAGGUAUGAUAUCUAUUAGAUGCAAAUGGAUCUAUAAGAAAAAGAUUGGAGCAGAUGGCCAAGUCAAAACUUAUAAAGUCAGAUUGAUGGCUAAAGGUUUUAGACAAAAACAGGAUAUUGAUUAUGAUGAAAUAUUUUCAUCUGUUGCCAUGCUCAAAUCUAUACGGAUUAUGUUUGCUAUAGCAGCAUACCAUGAUUAUGAAAUAUAGUAAAUGGACGUAAAGACCGUCUUUCUUAAUAGUUAUCUUGAGGAAAAGAUUUACAUGUUUUAGCUAGAAGAAUUUAUCUCAAGUGAGAGAACAAAUCAAGUAUGUAAGUUUAAGAAAUCCAUUUAUGAAUUAAAGCAGGCUUCGAGGAGUUGGAACAUCCACUUUGAUGUUAUAGUCAAAGAGUUUGGCUUUAUCAAAAAUAUGAAUGAACCUUGUGUAUAUAAGAAGACUAGUGAAAGUGCUAUUGUCUUCUUAGUUUUAUGUGGAUGGCAUACUUCUCAUUGGGAAUGAUAUCCCAAUGUUACAAUCGGUCAAGACAUGGCUACAAGUAAAUUUUUCAUGAAGGAUUUGGAUGAAGCAUCCUAUAUAUUAGGUAUAAAAAUAUAUAGGGAUAGAUCUAAGAGGAUGUUAAGCUUGUCCUAAUUCAGGUACACAGAUUUUGUACUAAAAAGGUUUAGCAUGGAUGGGAGUAAAAGAGGUUACUGACUCAUAAGUCAAGACAUAAUUCUCUCUAAAAAGAUGUCUCCUAAAAUAUUGGAAGAGAAAAAUAGAAUGAGUUCUAUUUUUUAUGCUUUAGUAGUAGGGUCAAUUAUGUAUGCUAUGCUAUGUACCAGGCCUGAUGUUGCCUGUACCUUAAGCAUAGUUAGUAGAUUUCAGGCUGAUCCAGGUGAGAAUCAUUGAAAAGCAGUAAAAAAUAUUCUUAAGUACUUAAGAAUAUUUUUCUGAUAUAUGGAGGAUCUGAUCUAAAACUAGAAAGUUAUUCUGACUCUAGUUUUCAAUUAGACUCUGAUGAUAGCAAGUCCACUUCAGGGUAUGUCUUUACUCUAAAUGGUGGAGCAGUAAGUUAGAAAAGUUUUAAGCAGCAGAUUGUAGCUGACUCAACCACUGAGGCAGUAGAUAGUGCAAAUAAAGCCGCUAAGAAAGCUGUCUGGAUGAAGAAGUUCAUCACUGAAUUGGAUGUCGCUCCUAAAAUUGAGAACACAGUAUCAUUUUAUUGUGAUAAUACUAGAGCAGUUGCUCAAACGAAAGAAUCGAGAUCUCAUCACAAAUCCAAGCACAUUCUAAGGCGCUUUGACCUUGUUCGUGAAAUAGUCGAAAGACAAGAUGUAGUCAUAGAACGAGUAGAUACAAAGAACAACAUAGUAGAUUCGUUCCCUAAGACUCUACUACAACAGCAGUUCGAUCGCCACCUCGAUUGUAUGGGAAUAAAAUAUAAGGGCGAUUGAUUUUAGUGCAAGUGAAAGAUUGAAAGGAAUAUGUCCUAUAAGUCAAUUGAAAUUUGUAUUUUGAUGAAUUUUUCUUGUAUCUUCCAGACUCAUGUAAUUAAUACUUUAUAAAUAAAAGGCAUUUAUUUUUCAUCAUAUGCUGCAUCUUACUUUUGUAAUGAUUAUGAUAAANNNNNNNNNNNNNNNNNNNNUUGAACAAAAAUAAGUGCAAUGGAAAAUGAGAUUGAAUAACUUAAAGAAGCAUUUAUACAAUCAUAUAAUGGGGAAUGCAUGUGACUAAUGCACAUGGCCAGAAACUUUACAAUGUCGAUUAGAUUUUUGGGCUUUGAGGCUUCUACAUAUUUAAGACCUUAUAAAGGUAAGUAAGAAUCCUUCACCCAACGAUGUGGGUCUAAUUUAUAAUAUGCAUGAUAAUAAUACUUUUCAAGUGUGCAGUAUAUAUAAACUACUGAAAGGAAUAUGUCCUACAAGUCAAUCGAAAUUUGUAUUUUGAUAAAUUUUUCUUGUAAUCUUUCAGACUCAUGCAAUUGACACUUUAUAAAUAAAAUGCAUUUAUUUUUCAUCAUAGACUGCAUCUUACUUUUGUAAUGAUUAUGAUGAACUCCAUAAAUCAGGACAAUGGCUUUAGGGUUAUGAUGAGAUCAUACCUAUGAGACCUAAAAUUCUAAAAAUCCUGAUUUAGAAUAUUCCUAGUCAUAGGAGUAUUGAGUAGGAGAUCAAUAUUUCGGAUAGACUGGCACUUCCUAUGUAUGCUCGAUGGAGAAGGUGACUGAUCUCAUAAGCCACUUGUGUGAGAUAUUAAUACAAGGAUCUGGGUACUCAUUAGAAAAUGAGUUCAUUGAAUUGAUCCGAUUUAAGAAACAUCUUAUGGAAUCGACUUACCCAUCAAAAGAUGUUUUCUUAUAGUGGGAGUUGUGCAUAUAAUUUUUUGACCUGAGACUACUAUAGAAUCUUGUACACAGGAAUCUGUAUUUUGGUUCAUACGCAUUCAUGACUUAGUCAUGUACGAGGUGUUCUGGAUAUGAUGGAAUGUGUAUAGAGGUUGUGAGUAGGUCAACAUAGAAUCGAUCACUCCUGCUAAGAUGAGAUUGCAUCCUACUCGCUCUAAUUGACUGAUGAUUCAGAGAGUCUUUGAUCAAAGCAAAAUAAAAAUUAGAAAGAGUUUCUAAUAUUUUAUUAAUUGAAUCAUCAUUAAAAAUUAAGAGAAAUAUGAAUAUGAUAUUGGAUUUGACAUCAUUUUAUAUUCAGAGUCAUAUUCGGGAUACAGGUUGAUCGUAGGAUCGAAUUGUACGGUAACUUUUCAUUGAGGGAUAUUUUUGAUAUUUUUAUCAAAAUUUCAUAUCUUUCAGAUAGACAUGAUACGUUGCUAGAUGUCUAUCUUGUCUUGUGGGUUUGAUCGAAUUAAAGAGUUUAAUUCGAUCGCCGAUUAAAAAAGAUUGUAAUUGCUGAAAUUGGGUUAGUUCGAUUGGAUCUAAAUCGAUUAAAUUAGAUUCUAAUCAAAUCAGAUCAACUUACAUCUAGACCUACUAUUGGUUAGAUGUGGAACCCAAUGGGUCACAUGCAAAGAAAAUUGAUCAGACGUCUAAUUGGAUUAGAUCAUGUUUGCAAGAUGAACAUGCAAGCACAUAUUGCGAACGCAAGCUCCUUGUUUCGAAUCGGAUUCGAAUUUGGUUUCAGAUUGGACUAAUUAAAUCCAAUUAAACUCAAACCAAUUUUGGUUUCAAAUUGGGUUAACCCUUAGCUGAGUGAGUCAAGUUUGUUGGUGCAUAAAAUCAGAUUUUCACAUUCACAAAAUAAUUUUUUGUCACGUGGGAAAGUUUGUUGGGAGCGCAGAAUUCAGAUUGGCGUCUCAUGAGAUGGGAUGCCCCUUUCCUAGCCUAUCUUUUUUGUUUCACAUUGAAAUUCAUAUGGGGCGUGGCAUUUUAAGUUGGCUUCAGAGUUUUGGUUGAAUGGAUGGGAUUUGAUCAAGUUAGACUUGAUCUUAUCCAAAACCUAGUCGCCCCUAUCAAGAUUGGCGGCCUCUUAAAUUAAUUCAUGCCAAUUCAUCUCCAAAUUUUUUCCACAUCUACUUCUGAUUAGCGCCUCCCUUGUGAACCAUUGGAUGGCUUUGUGCGCUGAUCAAGGGUGGAGAAGUGAGGCACCAAUUAAAAAAGUUGCGCGACCCUUCGGAGAAACACCACAUAAUUUUUUUCGAAGAGUCCUUCUGCGUGAAGCGACUCUUGGAAUUAAUUCUGAUGCUUCCACGUAAGAGAUCAGACUUGGACCAACAUGUGAAGGGUGGAAGGUGUGAGAAUGGGCGUGAGAAAUUGCUUGGAAGGGUGCAAGAUGAUUGGAUAAGCGUUCGAUCUCCAAAUAUAAAAGGGGACGCACGCCGGGUUCCGAUUCAUUCAAAAAAUCAUAAUCUCUUCUUUCUUACACAAGUCUCCCCUCUUGUCCAAUUAUUCCUUUCCUUUCCUUGUUAGGACAAGUCCUAAAAUAGUCAGGACAAGUCCGAUUUUAGGACAAGAGCCUAGGAAGAGAUAUAAGGAAGAUAAAGAGACAAGAAAGGUAGAGAUAGGAAGGCUAAGAGGAGAGGAAGGAGGUCCUGAAGUUCUGCUGCUCAAAGAAAUUCUUAGAGUGAGAAUUUUAUAGGAAGAAUCAUCUUAAGGAGUUGGUGUCUUGAUCAAAGUCCUAUGUAGAUCAUCGUUGGAGGGCGAAUACUUAGGCGCUUGGUGGAGGUUCUGUCGGAGUUUUGGAAUAAAUGUUGCGGGUAUUCUUUUAUACCUAGAAUUUUGUUAUGAAAAUGUUUUAUAUGAUUGUUAAUCAUCAAGGAGAUGCUGGUUAAGGGUUUAAUGUUUAUGAUUUCAUAGUUUAAAUUUUUGAAAUCCGUGCUUCUGCUAUACCAUCAUAACCUUAGAGUGGUAUCAGAGUCGGUCUUGUUUGGUUCAAUCAUAUAUAAGAUAAUAUUUAUGUAAUGCAUACUAUGAUUCGUGUUAUGCAGAUGUUCAUAGUUUAAAAUUAAUUAUGCUUGAAUUAUGCUUUCAUAUUUUUGAUAUGAAUUGAUACGUAUAUGAUCCAUUACUUCAUCAUUCUGAAAUAAGGUUGUCCUAGCAUAACGGGGUUAUGCUGCAAGAUUGUCCUGGAAUGAUGAAUGUUCAUAUGUCACAAUGGCACAUAUAAAAUGUUUAAUGCUAAUAUAUAUUAGUGUGCAUUAGCAUUAUGAAAUUAGAAUGUGCAUGAGACCAAUGAAGUCCUUAUAAAAUUAUAUUAAGUAGUAGUGAAAGCAACUAUAGGUUAACCAAUUUUUGAUCAAUUGAUUAAUUGGUGUCUAGAAAAGUGCUAAAGGUGGUUCUUUAAUUGGUUCCGUUAACUGACCUGAUCAAUUUAUUGGUGUCUAAGGAAAGCAACGGGGGGACCCCCACCUGCUUACCUGGCCAAUUUGAUUGAGCGAUCUUGAAAUUAAAAAAUGCUAAUGUUGAAAAUACUACUAGGGGCCUUCCUUUAUGUUAGGUUAAUGUUACAUCGUGAACUAUGGCAAGUUUGUUGUGUUACCACAAGGCUUGCCAUGGGGACUGAUAUAACAUAAUCCUGAUGCAUAGAAGAUGUUUACGGCAAUUUUGGGUAUACUGCUUUAUUGUAUUACCAUAAAAGCAGUAAUAUUCGAAUUUGACUUUAUUGAAAUGAAUGUUCGUACUUAACUAAAAUAUUAUAGCUUGUUGUGUUAUCACAAAGCUAAUAAUGUUUUAGAGGCUAAGAUAAAAUUGAAAAUUACAUGAGAUGCAAUUUGAAAUAGUUUCGUACCUAUGAACUCAUAAGGAUUUGUUGUGUUACCACAAGAUCAUUGUGAGGAAUUAGGAUCUCAAUCCCACUAAGAUAAAUAUACAAUAUGUCUCGUUCAUCAUAGUAGAGGGUUAUGAUGUUCGAUAAAAUAGUGGGAGGCACAAUUAAAUCUAAAAGAUCUUAUUUAAUUGUGUUAGUCAUCAUGAGUUGUUUGUUUAUGUUAUGUUCUUUAUUUAUUGUAGAUUAAAUUUUAUAAAUGGCAUCUUCAUUAUUUUUGUGAGGAAUUUUAGAUUCCAACAAGUUGACCGGUCUCAAUUACGUGGACUGUUUGAGGAAUUUAAAGAUUGUACUCACUCAGGAGAAACUCUCUUACAUUCUUGAUGUUCCUGAACCACAAGAAGUUGGGGAUGAUGCCACUGAGAAAAAGGUAUCCACGUACAGGAUGUGGAAGAAUGACAGUUUAACUGUCAAAUGCAUCACACUGACCUUUAUGAGCAAUAAAUUGCAAAGGCAAUAUGAGAGUAUGGAUACUCAAUCCAUACUCCUCAAUCUUAAAGAGUUGUAUGGAGAGCAGAGUAGGACUUCUAGGUAUGAGAUAUCUAAGCAGUUAUUUCGUGCUAGAAUGAAUGAAGGAUCAUCCGUACAAGAUCAUGUCCUUAAAGUCAUUGACUUGAUCACUAGAUUCGGUCAAUUGGGUUUUGUGAUGAAUGGAGUAUUGAGUCAGAAUUUGAUCCUGCAAUUUCUCUCUGAAUCAUUCACUCAAUUUGUUGUGAAUUAUCAUAUGAACAAACUGAAUACCUCUUUGCCUGAGUUGUGAAACAUGCUUAAAACAGCUGAGAGCCACAUUAAAAAGGAAAAAGGCUCCAUUUCUUCUUAUGGAUAAAAUUUUUAAGAAGAAAUCAUGCAUUAAGGGUUCAAAGAAAGCAUUGAACCCUAAAGGUAGCAAGAUGAAGAAGAAGGGGAAAAAAGUCUCUGGACUAGGUAUUUGCUUUCAUUGCGGCAAAGUAGGACACUGGAAAAGGAAUUGCAAGUUUUAUCUUGAAACUGUAAAGACUGGUGCAAGCGACGCACAAAGAUAUGUACGAGAUACAUACAAUUUUGUUAUUAAGUUCUUCCAAUUCAGAUUCUUGGGUAUUAGAUACCGCCUGCGGUUUUCAUAUAUGUAAGUCAUUGCAGGGGCUGCAGAACAUUAGAGUUUUGAAGAAGGAUGACUUCGAGCUCUACAGUACUAGAGGAGAGUUCAUCCAAGCAGAAGCUGUAGGGACAUAUAUGUUGAAGUUACCUUCUGGAAAGAUCUUAGAGCUGGAAAACUGUUACUAUAUGCUUAAGAUCAUUAGGAAUAUUAUUUCUGUAUCGUUGCUAUUGCAACGAGAUUUUGAAAAAAAUGGAAAGAGCAAUAGUUGCUCAAAUUUUUUUUCUAAUAAAAUUCUCUGUCAUGGUAUUGUUAAUAAUGAUCUUUUGGUUUUAUCUAAUGACAAUGUUUUUCAUAUUGAUAAAAGCAAAAAAUGAAAGAGAGAAGAUAUAAAUAAUAUUUUACUUUGGCAUUGUCGACUUGGUCAUAUAAGUGAGACAAGA